rnacentral:lncRNA from 1 species
CCGCAACACAAUAUAGACACCCCCUCCCAAGCGAACAGUUUCUUCCUCAUUAUACAAAACACAUCAAUAUAAGACCUAAGCCUUGAACCUGGGAGACACACUCACAUACCUGUUUUCCAGCCAUCGCCACCCCUCGCUGGAAACCACCAGAGCAACACUGUCCAGUAGCCUGUCACACACCAACGCACCUCUGGCACGUCAUCUUUCUCACCAAAAAUGCAGCAAUAGCCAAACCAACUCCGCUGCCAUCUUCGCCAGACCUCCUUAUCUCCAAAAACAGCCUUCUUUUUUUC